GACGAACGCUGGCGGCGUGCCUAAUACAUGCAAGUCGAGCGGAAGUUGGAGAGCUUGCUCUUCAACUUUAGCGGCGGACGGGUGAGUAACACGUGGGCAACCUGCCCUGCAGAUCGGGAUAACUCCGGGGAACCGGUGCUAAUACCGAAUAGUUUUCGCCACCUCCUGGUGGCGUACGGAAAGACGGUUUCGGCUGUCACUGCAGGAUGGGCCCGCGGCGCAUUAGCUAGUUGGUGGGGUAACGGCCCACCAAGGCGACGAUGCGUAGCCGACCUGAGAGGGUGAUCGGCCACACUGGGACUGAGACCCGGCCCAGACUCCUACGGGAGGCAGCAGUAGGGAAUCUUCCGCAAUGGACGAAAGUCUGACGGAGCAACGCCGCGUGAGUGACGAAGGUUUUCGGAUCGUAAAACUCUGUUGUGAGGGAAGAACAAGUACCACUUAACUACUGGUACCUUGACGGUACCUCACCAGAAAGCCACGGCUAACUACGUGCCAGCCGCCGCGGUAAGAC
rnacentral:rRNA from 1 species